CCCUUAGAUGUCCGGGGCCGCACGCGCGCUACACUGAAGGAAUCAGCGUGGCUUUCUCCCUGACCCGAAAGGGUUGGGAAACCCGUUGAAUCUCCUUCGUGAUAGGGAUUGGGGCUUGAAAUUGUUCCCCAUGAACGAGGAAUUCCCAGUAAGCGCGAGUCAUAAGCUCGCGUUGAUUACGUCCCUGCCCUUUGUACACACCGCCCGUCGCUACUACCGAUUGAAUGGUUUAGUGAGGCCUUCUGACUGGCGCCGCUACUCUGGCAACAGAGCGGCGGAUGCCGGGAAGUUGGUCAAACUUGAUCAUUUAGAGGAAGUAAAAGUCGUAACA
rnacentral:rRNA from 1 species